rnacentral:rRNA from 1 species
UGGAGUAUGUGGUUUAAUUCGAUGCAACGCGAAGAACCUUACUGGUCUUGACAUCCCGGAGACCCUUAGGAAACUAGGGGGUGCUUCCAUCUGGAAGAAUCUGGAGACAGGUGCUGCAUGGCUGUCGUCAGCUCGUGUCGUGAGAUGUUGGGUUAAGUCCCGCAACGAGCGCAACCCUUGCCUUUAGUUGCCAGCAGUUCGGCUGGGCACUCUAAAGGGACUGCCGGUGUUAAACCGGAGGAAGGUGGGGAUGACGUCAAGUCCUCAUGGCCUUUAUGACCAGGGCUACACACGUACUACAAUGGCCGAUACAAAGGGCAGCGACACUGCGAGGUGAAGCCAAUCCCGUAAAAUCGGUCUCAGUCCGGAUUGGAGUCUGCAACUCGACUCCAUGAAGUUGGAAUCGCUAGUAAUCGUGGAUCAGCAUGCCACGGUGAAUACGUUCCCGGGCCUU